rnacentral:ncRNA from 1 species
GAAAAAGCAAUGAAGAGAAAGAGUACUAUGGUGAUAUCUUUGAACAGAGAGCUCCGGUAGCUGAAAAGGAGUAAAGAAGAUCUGUGGGAAUAUGGUCUCUGAGCUGCGCAUCGAACCCCGAUUGGGAUGUAGGCUGCGCCGGAACCCGCAUCCGUUACCAUGCUAGGGUAUACUCGCGUAAUUACGCGCCGUACCUGAAGAGGUGAAUGCCGCGAGGCAUUUAUAAAAUUGGGUGGUACCACGUGAGCAGAGCUCUCGUCCCUUUG